ensembl:lncRNA
AUGCCUGACAGGUUCACUCUGCUCAUUCUCAGCUUUUCUUUCAUACUUCACAAUGUUUGUAGUUGGAGCGUGAGUGAACCUCUCAACCACACAUUGAAUGAUGAUGGCUCAGCCAGUGUCACAUGCAUGUUCUAUGGAGAAGAAAGGUUUGAGUUGGAAGCUAAGUUGAAAAUGAAUGAUAUGGUUGUUUGUGAGGUUGAUGAAGGAGGACAAGAAAAUAACCAGUGUGAAUGGAAGUUUAAGGACAAUAAAUUCACGUUCACCUUAAAGAAACCUGAGAACCUCCACAGUAAUACAUUUUCCUGUGAGAUAUCCAAAAUAAAACCAUAUCCAGUCAAAACUGAACAAGGACCGAAAAUUAAGCUUUUCCGAGGUUGCAAUAACCCUUUUGCUCCAACGGAGACCAGCUGUCCAAUCACUAACCAAACAAUUGACCAGAAUCACACACCUGUAGAAAGGCCCGAACUUGAAGACAGAUAUACCCUACUAAUCUGUGGUCUGGUCAUAGUGGUGGGAAUGCUGUCUCUCUACAGCAUUAUUCUUACUGCAGUCUACAUCAGAUUGAGGGUAAAACUUAUCAUCUUAAAAUAAAACUUUUUAUUUUAUGUUUGUGUUGUUUUAUAGUGUCUUUACCACUGAAUAUCUGUAUAUAUAUAUAUAUAUAUAUAUAUAUUUAUAUAUAUAUAUAUAUAUAUAUAUAUACAUAUAUAUACAUAUACAGUAUAUUGUUGCAUUCAUUUAAUCAAUAAGGAGAGGAUGUGCUAUACUGUGAAUACUGCAGUCACAGUGCUGUUAUGAUGCACAACAAAAUGCGUAUAUUCACACUACAGCACUACCUCGAGGAAGGACUUUCUUUUAUUAUAAAGCAAUCACCACUAAUAGAACGCUACUAAGCAACAAUCAAUCACCAUCUAAGACCAGAAAUAUAUUUUAUGAUUAAUAUUUUUAAUGCUAUUUUUAUGCCGUUUUUUUUUUUUUGUCUUUCGUGUGCAAGCAUAAUUUUUUUGGUCUGUUGUUUAUUGGAGUUCAAUAAAACUGUCAACUUAGUAUCUUUAAAAGCA